AACUGAGACUCAUAGAUAUGCUCCUCCACACUAAACUCAUCUCUAGACACACACACACACACACACACACACACACACUGUCACUAUCACAACUACAAACAAAGGACAAUGACUAUUGUUCCAUGUGAACUCCACUCUGGUCUCAGGGAUGAGUCUAGAGAUCAUUCCAGAAUUGUACUGUGUGAAUCCUGGGUUGUGAUUGGACGAGAUGAAUGGGUUCAUUAUUGCAUCAUAAUGGAGAGAGCUCAGUUUUGUGGCAUUCUCUGUGGAGUCGCCAGAACUGACCAAUCCUGAGAGGAAUAGGGGCUAGUUUCAGAACUGACCAAUCCUGAGAUGAUUAGGGCUAGGUUCAGGAUCUCAUAUCAUCAUCAUUGUUUAUUCAGGGAGAAUUGACUGAGCACAGGGCUCCUUUGCAGCAAUGCCCUGAUUGAGGCUACAUAAUACAACAAUACAUAAACAAACCAAAACAAAACAGACAAAAUAAAUAAACAAAACACAUUAAACAAUUCAGAAAUUAAGUAUACAUUUUUUUUUUUUUAAUUACAUUUACAUAUACAACAAUGUAGCCGUUUCUGUCUGAGGCCGACAUGACAGAAAUCCAACGUAUCUGCAAUGUUGAGCAUGUUUAAGUCCCACACAACCAACACUGUUGAUUUCAUUUAAUAGAUAGCUACUCAUUGAGAAAGAGUCAGUGCUUUUUUGCACUCUGAUUGGGUAACUUUAGUUGUCUGUUGUCAAGGGACAUAUGUCACAAAGGUGUCUGUUGUCAAGGGACAUGUGUCACAAAGGUCGAGGAUAAUCACCUUGUAAUCAACCAAAGAUUGUUCAUAGGGAUCAGUACAGUGCAGUACGGUGUGUGUGUGUGUGUGUACAAACUCCUCACCGUGCUCAUGUGUGUGUGUGUUGUCUACGCGUUCAGCAUACCUACCAACCAGGCAGCAGUUUCCCUGUCUGGAAAAAAAAAGCUCCAUUUCACCGCCUUGUUGGAAGAUUGUCAGUCGAGGCUCCAACGAAUCACUUAUAAAUCAUGACCUAUGACCCCAAACCCAAUCUUACUAUCGGUAGAGCGAGGAAGCAAGCUGUGCUGUUGGGUGACAUCCUCUUCAUUCCUGUCUUCUGGUGUCAGACCACGUGGCUGUGGUGGUGAUGUCAUAAUGGCUACAGCUGUGUGGUGAUGUCAUAAUGGCUACAGCUGUGUGGUGAUGUCAUUAUAAAUAAUGGCUACAGCUGUGUGGUGAUGUCAUAAUGGCUACAGCUGUGGUGGUGAUGUCAUAAUGGCUACAGCUGUGGUGGUGAUGUCAUAAUGGCUAUAGCUGUGUGGUGAUGUCAUAAUGGCUACAGCUGUGUGAGGUACAAGCACUUCCUCAGGAAAUAGUAUUUUCCUGUCUGCUGCAUAAAUACUUACAGUGUGUGUGUGUGUGCGUGUGUGCGCGCACAAGUAAACAUGGAAUAGCUUCUGCUAAUUAUAAUAAUCCAAAAUAUUCCAGCGAUGUUUAACAGACUCAAUAUACAGCACACGUAUACGAGUCUGUAGUUACACACGUCUUGUUUUUAAAAUUUGUAUUGACUUUUUGUAUAAACCUUAGAAUGUGUAUUAUAGCAGAAUGAUAAAAUGGUCUUUAUAUUUGAAUAUGUCAGGAACUAUAUUAAAAAAGAUGUUUUCAUUUUGGUGUAAUUCCUGUCCAGUUUGUUAAACCUUUGGUGCAUCACACACACACA
ensembl:lncRNA